GACGAACGCUGGCGGCGUGCUUAACACAUGCAAGUCGAACGGAAAGGCCCUGCUUUUGUGGGGUGCUCGAGUGGCGAACGGGUGAGUAACACGUGAGUAACCUGCCCUUGACUUUGGGAUAACUUCAGGAAACUGGGGCUAAUACCGGAUAGGAGCUCCUGCUGCCUGGUGGGUGUUGGAAAGUUUCGGCGGUUGGGUAUGGACUCGCGGCUUAUCAGCUUGUUGGUGGGGUAGUGGCUUACCAAGGCUUUGACGGGUAGCCGGCCUGAGAGGGUGACCGGCAACAUUGGGACUGAGAUACGGCCCAGACUCCUACGGGAGGAAGCAGUGGGGAAUAUUGCACAAUGGGCGGAAGCCUGAUGCAGCAACGCCGCGUGCGGGAUGACGGCCUUCGGGUUGUAAACCGCUUUCGCCUGUGACGAAGCGUGAGUGAAGGUAAUGGGUAAAGAAGCACCGGCUAAAUACGUG
rnacentral:rRNA from 1 species